ACCCUUUCUAGUUUCUAAUUUUCAACCCUUGCCCCGCGUUUUCCGUGUUUGGUACCAAAAUUUGUUCAAAUCCCUAGCAUUGGAUUGUCUUCAUCCGGCAUGAUCAGUCUUUGGAUCGUUUUCAUGUUAGCAUUCUUUCUUGCACAGAGAAGGAUGGGGCUCUUCUUCCUGCUAUUCUCAUCUUGAUUGUUUGGAGCAGCGUAAAGCACCUGAUGAGCUUGUUAAUGAUCUCACAAAUCUGGCAUCUGCAACUGGGAACCUCUAUUGCAGAUUAUAAUUAGGCUUUGCCAUGCCUAAUCCUGUUUGGAUGAAAGAAGCUCCAUUUUCAAAAAGUCCCUCACGGAGUAAAACUUCCAAGGUCCCUUCCCCUGGCUGCCAUGUCUCCAUGUAACCUGCUCAACCGAUUACGAUGAAGAGUCUUGUUUGGUCCAAAAUGAUUGUACACGACAGUCACCUUCAUGCCUUUGUCUCUCACAUAGCCAUCAUCAUGUCCGAGGAGCAUUACUUUGUCCUGGUUUCUGAACCAGUUGUUGGAGAUGGUAAUACCGGUAGACCCUCGAGUGA